rnacentral:rRNA from 1 species
AUGGGGAACUGCAUGAAGUCCACGGCCCGGGUGGAUCACAGCAUGAACACUAGUGCCGCCUAUCCAUCGAAAGUGACCAGCAAAACAAGCAUGUCAUCUGCUACUUCUGCGAGCAAGACCAACUCAACUCGUUCAACGUUUACUCUGCCAUCUAUAAGAGAUCGCAGUGAGCCUCCCCGGACAGAAGGUGAAAUCUUGUCAUCGUCGAACUUGAAGGCCUUCUUGUUCAAUGAUCUUAAAAAUGCGACCAAGAAUUUCCGCCCGGACAGUCUUCUUGGGGAAGGAGGGUUUGGGCAUGUUUUCAAAGGUUGGAUUGAUGAACACACUCUUGCUCCUUCGAAACCGGGAAGCGGUAUGGUUGUUGCUGUCAAGAAGCUUAAACCAGAAGGUUUCCAAGGGCACAAGGAAUGGCUGACGGAGGUUAACUACCUUGGCCAACUUCACCAUGCCAAUCUUGUUAAGCUCAUUGGUUAUUGCUCUGAUGGUGAUAACAGACUUCUGGUGUAUGAGUUCAUGCCCAAGGGAAGUUUGGAGAAUCAUCUGUUCAGAAGAGGUGCUGAUCCUUUGUCAUGGGGAAUAAGGCUUAAGGUUGCUAUCGGGGCUGCUAAGGGUUUGUCAUUUUUACAUCAUGCUGAAAACCAAGUUAUAUAUCGUGAUUUCAAGGCAUCAAACAUUCUUCUUGACUCGGAAUUCAACGCGAAGCUUUCAGAUUUUGGAUUAGCGAAAGCUGGUCCAACUGGGGAUAAAACUCAUGUUUCCACACAAGUGAUGGGCACCCAUGGAUAUGCUGCUCCAGAGUAUAUCGCAACAGGUCGCCUCUCUGCUAAGGCAGACGUCUACAGCUUCGGGGUGGUGUUGCUUGAGUUGCUGACCGGGAGACGAGCCCUGGACAAGUCAAAGCCAGGCAUAGAGCAGAACCUAGUGGACUGGGCCAAACCGCACCUGCGUGACAAGCGCAGGCUGUACCGUGUCAUGGACACGAAGCUGGGAGGCCAGUAUCCUAAGAAAGGCGCACAUGCCGUCGCGAACCUCGCCUUGCAAUGCAUCUGCAACGACGCCAAGAUGCGGCCGCAGAUCUCAGAGGUCUUAGAAGAGCUGGAGCAGCUCCAAGACUCUAAAAGCAAUUUAAUGUCGCCGCAGGUUGACAUCCGGAGGACCUCCAAUACCGUCCCAAAGUCGCCAAUGAGGGGCCAACCCUCGCCGCGGCGCUCUCUUGGAGCGAUGGCGCCGCCGUCACCGGCAUUUAGGACCGCGCAAGUGCACUAG